rnacentral:lncRNA from 1 species
UCACAGUAAGGUAAGCUAACAUUUAAAGGCCAAAUAUGAUUAUGGUCAUCAAAUAAAGAGAAUGGGAUAUAAUAUUGCUAGCAUAUAAUAUGGUCUUUAUGCAAGCUCUAAAUGGGAUAAUAUAUAGUAUUCAUUCAAUCCCAAAUAUUUUUUUUAAAUAAAUCAAUCUUGAGCACAUGGACAAACUGCAUUAAAAACUCAUACAGACUUUUUUCCCCUAUCAGAGCCAGUGGUUCUCUUGCUUCUCACUUAAGUCUUUUACUCAGUUUUGACUGAGUGGGUAUUUCCCACCAGAAAGAGAAACUCACAUGUCUGUGUCAAAAUAUUCAAUUUGGUAGCAUCAUGGAGAGCAAAAUGGAAAUAAUCCUAUAGUUGAGGGAGCAUGACAAGGAAGCCACAAGACCACCACUCAGCUUCAGAAAACCAAGAGAACAGCCAGGCCUCAGUCUGAGAGACCACAAUUUCAUUCAUCAGUCAAAUGAAUAUGCUGUUUGCUCUUCAGAGAGAUUUUAUAUGACAUAUCCAUUUAAAAAACUGGGACUAGCUUUGUUGGAUAAAGACUUGGGAAUUAGGCAAUCUUAUUGAACAAGUAGUGAUAAUUAAACCUUCUAACCCGAGGCAUGGAGUGAACCAGGAUGAAUAGCCAGAAAGAGUUUUAUAAGGGAAAACAUAAAAAUUAUACCUUAUAGCAAAAAAAAUCAAUUCCCUAUUAAAUCACUGGAUAAUCCCUUCAAUCAUAACAUUUUGUUGUUUUCUUAGCUGGGAAACCUUGGUGUCUAAGCUUUAGUUUGUCGUACAUUUCAUCUAAAAAGGUCUAGGAAUUCCCUGGUAGCUCAGUGGGGUUAGGAUCGAGGAUCAUUGCUAUGGCUCAGGUCACUGCUAUGGCACAGGUUUGAUCCUUGGCCUGGGAAUUUUGCAAGCUGUCUUUUGACAAAGACAUUUUAGGUUAUCAUAAUCAUCCUCUUCUUCUCUUAACAUGUUUGUAUUCACUGAAUUCUCAGCCUUUAAAAACUUUCUCAGGUUACUAAACUAGCCAGAAGGAAAAUCCCUGUCCAACAAGUUUCUCCCCUCCCCCUCACCUCCUUGCCCAAUCUCAGUUCCUGGUUCCCUUUUUCUGCCUUUGCCCCCUGGACCUUCUCACUUCAGUGGUCCUGUCAAUAGAACCAGGGGUUUUCAGGCACACUAGUAAGGUUUUUACAACUGCUGCCUUGGAGGUCAGAUAAAUCUGGCCCCAAGUAUUGGCGCUAGCCACAGUUUAGCUUAGGGACUCUGAAUAAGCUAUUUUUAGCCUCUGUGCUUCAUUUUCUCCAUCAGUAAAAAAAGAAUAAUAAUGAUGCCUACCUCACCAUAAACACUUCACACUAAGAAUAUCUGCUAGCUAUUUUGAGGAUAAUUUUUAAUCAAUUUUUAGUAUUUCCCUGUUCCACCCAUAUAGCACAGUAGGGUGGAACAUAUAAUAAUAAUAAUAAUGCCAAUAAUAAUUAAUAACAGCAUUCAUCAAAUAUUUGCUAUGUAUUAAGCUUUUCUAAAUGAACUAUGUUAUAUUAGCUUAAUUUUUACCCCACUGUUCAGUUGUUCUCUUAUCCACAUUUAUAGUUCAGGAAACUGAACCUCAAAAAUUUAAAACUUACCCAAGUUCACAUGAUUAGUAAAUGGUCAAGGUGAGACUUAAUAAGUCCAGAAAUUGCUUAUACAUACAGUCAUUAAGGUUUAGACUAGAGGUCAGCAGACUUGGGAUCAAGCCCCAGGCUGAUCAGUUGUAAGCUGAGUUACCUCCAGUUAUUCACUGCAUCUCUUUACUUCAGAUUCCUCAUCUCUAAGAUAAGCUGAAGUGUUACCUCUCUAUCCACAAGAUAUGGUGAGGAUUACAUUAGGGAAUUGGAAUACCUGAUUAGUUCUCACAAGUGUAAGUUAUUUUUUAUUAAUUUUAGGUAAUGUUAUAAAUGCUGGAAGAGCUGUUUAAAUGGAGAUGCUGCUGCUGCUGAUUUUCAAAGGGCCUUGAUCACUGCAGGAAAUAGAGAAACAAAUUCAGGCUAAGGUCAUCUUAGCUCUUGGGAACUUAGGAUGCUGUCUUCUUUGUUAAUGAUAUAGUAUUUGGGGGGUAUUCCUUCACUGCUCAACCUAGUAGCAAGGAUCUUACGAACUAAGGUUACUGAGAUCCUUCCACUUAAGCCAAGAUCUCUGUCUACUGGGGGAAAAAAAAUAUGAUCUGGACACUUGCUUUGGUGAACCAAAAGUCAAGAUGAUGAGCAAGGUCUUUUCUAUGGGAAACUGUUUUAUACAUCACUACAGCUAGGGUGAUCUCUGCACAAUCCUAGUCUGAGGGGAACCAUCCCCUGGAUUAACAUCCUUCAAUGUGUUUAUUGUUCUGGAGAUAACAUACACAAUCCACAUCCCAGUCUCCAUAUCCAGCAUGGCUGUCUGUCUCCCUGUCUCCUUUUUUAGCCAUAGCACGCCCCUCUCCUCCUAGCUUUACACUCUGGUCUUCUUGAAAGCCCUUCUCCCCAAAGGGCCCUUGCAUGAGCUCUCUCUCUGCCUAGUACUUUCUAGCCCAUUGCCUUUUCCUUCUCUAGGUGACUCAGCUCAAAUAUCUCUACCUCAGAAAACUCCCUGGCCUGCCUGAUGAGGUCAAAUCCCCCUAUUAGAAAUUUUUAUUGGAUCCAGUGGCUCUCCUUCACACUCUCAAUACAACUGUACAUUUAUCGACUUGAUUAUCUAACUCAAGUCUCUCUCCUCCAACAGACCAAAUGUUCCAAUAAACCCAUCUGAGGGCCAAGACCUUCGUGAUCCAUAAGUAUGUGUUGAACCCACGAGUGAGUGGGAAUAUUUGUUGCCUUUAGUGGGUUCUCCAUUCUCAUUUGAAAAGCAAAUAAUAGAAGCCAAGCUCCCCUGCUUUUCAUCCUCUUAAAUAUGUAACUUUCUUCCUGGAAAUGAUGGAAUAUGGAAAACACACAAAGCCAUCCAAGAUUUUCUAAAUAGAACAAGGCAGAAAAAGCAAAAGAAAAGUGAUAUUUUUCUCCCUUUGUAUAGAAACAGUUGAGGGAGGAAACAAAGUAAAAUAAUUAAAGAGAAGGUAAGUAGAUUAAAUUAUAGUGACUUCCAAGAAGCUGUCCAUCAAAAUUUUUUAAAAAAGAAACUGGAACAAAGGAAGCAAUAAACAUAAUGGGAUUGUGAAUUCUGAUGAGGAAAUGUAAGGGAAAAGAAUCAGAGCUUCAUUUUCUUUGCACCGUUUUUAAUUUGAUUUAGCAUUCUGUCAUUGUUGGCUGUGUUUUAAAAGAACGUCUUUCAGGAAUUUGCUUGUGUUUCUUUUGCUUUAACCAUGACAUCAUCAAGAGCAUGUAUGAAUGCGAUUGUGGAGUGUAGGAGUCUGGUUGGCUCUGCCACUCACUGGCGCCAUGACCCCUAAUAAAUUACUUCUUCCUCUGGAAUCUACUUCCUUCAUCCAUUAAAUGGGGAUAAUAAAAGCACCCAUCUCAUGCACUUGAGACAAGCCAGUGAGAUGAUGCAACAAAGUCUUGACACUGCUUGGCAUACAGGAGAAGCUUAAUAAACAUUAGCUGUCAUUAUUAUCGCUGGCAGUUCUUGGUUGUCUUUCAAAAUUCUAAUCUGAAUCCUCAUUUUCAGGUAACUGCAUUUAUCUCAAAUGCUAGGUCACUGUUAGGAAGAUCAUGUAUGGAUUCAUUGCCUUCUUGACAAAAGUGUCAACUCUUCCAGACAGGGUUCCAUUGUUUAUGUCUCCAGAGAAUAAACCAGUUGAUUAUCUUUCCCUGAAUCUGAGACUCUAGCUUUCUCUCACACCUACCUCUGAAUGCCUCAGAGGGUCUUCUCAUUCUGGCUUAUUGCAUACUGAAAGAAGAAUAUUAAAGGAGAAUCCUAUGCUAUUCUAAGUGAUAUGGGUAAUUCAUUUGAAGAUUCAUAUCUAUAUUUUCAUGGGAAUACUAAGGGAUAGAAGCUAUUGUUACUAAAUAGUCAAAUCUAAGACUAAGGAAAAUGCUUUGCUCAGAAUAAUCAAAGAAUAGAGGAGUUCCCGUCGUGGCGCAGUGGUUAAUGAAUCCGACUAGGAACCAUGAGGUUGCGGGUUCGGUCCCUGCCCUUGCUCAGUGGGUUAACGAUCCGGCAUUGCCGUGAGCUGUGGUGUAGGUUGCAGACGCGGCUCGGAUCCCGCGUUGCUGUGGCUCUGGCGUAGGCUGGUGGCUACAGCUCCGAUUCAACCCCUAGCCUGGGAACCUCCAUAUGCCGUGGGAGCGGCCCAAAGAAAUAGCAAAAAGACAAUAAAUAAAUAAAUAAAUAAAUAAAUAAAUAAAUAAAUAAAUAAAUAAAUAAAAGAAUAGAGUUGGAGAACACCUAAUAAGUUAUUCAGUCUACUGGUCCCAAACCUGUCUCCAUAUUAGAAUCACCUGGAAACUUUUCAACCAACGCACAGUCCCAGGAAGACCCCAAACUACUGAAUAUGAUUUCAACAAAGGAGAACCAGGCAGUCUGAUGUUUUAGACUUCUCCCUGGGUGAUUAUGAUGAUUGGUCAGGGUGGAGAAUUCUGAUUUGGAACAACAGGUGACAAAAGGGUGUCAUCUCACUGCCAACACAGUGGAUCAAGUAUAACUAAUUGAGGGAUGAAAUGAGAAGCAGUCUGUCACUGUUUCUGGGUCCAUUAAGAAAGUGUACUAUUCACUUAAUGUUUCAUCUGGUCUUAGUUUAGGAGAAUGGUGGUUCCUGUGCCUUGUAUUCACCAGAAUUGAUCUAUUUCAGUAUUCUCAUUUUCAAGAUGUGACAUGAGAAGGAAACUGACUUACUCUAUCUGUUGGCUAUAGCUUAUUUCCAACCUUUCCCCAACAUCAUCAGCUUAAAAAACAAUCAGGAAUUCCCGUUGUGGCGCAGCAGAAACAAACCUGACUAGGAACCAUUUGGUUGCAGGUUCGAUCCCUGGCCUUGAUCAGUGGGUUAAGGAUCCCGCAUUUCUGUGAGCUGUGGUGUAGGUUGCAGACACAGCUGGGAUCUGGCAUUGUUGUGGCUCUGGUGUAGGCCAGCAGCUACAGCUCCGAUUAGACCCCCAGCCUGGGAACCUCCAUAUGCCGUGAGUACAGCCCUAAAAAAAGGACAAAAGACACACACACCAAAAAAAAAUCAUGUAUUUGGUCAUGAUUUUAUGAGUAGCCUGGAUGGGUUUUCUGGUCUGGGUUGACUGACUAGGGCUAAAUGAUCUAGUAUAAUUUCAUUCACAUUUCUGCAGUUGGAAGCUGAUUAGUCUAGUGGGCGUCAUUCAUUCACAGUCUGGAUAUAGGCUUAAAUUCAAGCAUCAUCCAGCAGGCAAGCCUGAAUUUUUUCACACUUGGUAACCAGAGAGCAAGGCCUAGCAUCCAAGCACUUUUCAAAGCUCUGCUUGCAUUUAUUUGUGAAUGUUUCAUUGACUGAAACACAUUACUGAGCCAAGCCUGGCCUCAACAGUUAGAGAAAGAGAUGAUACUUCUUCACAACACAAGAUGGGAUGGGAUGCAAAAUAACAAAUGAGUGUGCACACAGGCAAAGAACUUUGUGAUUAUUUUGCAAUCUGCAACCCUUGUCUAAAAUCACAAGUGAUUUGUAGGAGAGUUAGGACCAGAACUCCUGGUGCUUAUUUCCCAGUUUUGCCUACAAUAAAAACAAAGGAAGUGUUCCAACAAUUUAGCCUCUAAUGUAUAUUUGGACUUGAAAAGUAGAACACUCUUGGCAGAACAGGAGCUAGAGAUAGUCAAUCAGUCUGUAGGAUGUGGGACUUGUCUCCACCAAAGAUGGCUUUGAGGAAGAUGUCCAAUGGGUUCUAACAGACUCAGACUGAUUUUAACCAAGGUCAUUUCCAAGGAACCCAGCAUGGCAAGGGAGGUGUGGCAACAAGAAGUUUCUGGGCAGUGGCUACUUAAAAUUCAUAGAGUAGCAGCAUCAUGAUUCCCUGGGGAUCCCAAAACCUGCCAGCAGGACAGGAUCAGCCUGGAAGGCAAGAGGGUUCUAUUGAGAUCUGUGUUGUUUGCUGAGUUCCAGUGUAAGUUCCUCCAGGUUUUGCAAUGCUUAACUCGAAGGGAGGCCACUCAUAUGGACUAAUAGGUGAAUGGCACCCUCUGGUGUGGUGUUGGGCAAUAUGGUGGUCCUGGUUUGCUAUUUCAACAGGGAAGUGUAGGGCUUUCAGCAAAACCAUGCUUUAUCUCAGUUAGAUGAACUGAGUAAAAUCUCUCACAUCAACACAUCAAGAAGUUGGGAUAAAACAGAAUAUGCACUUGUUUGGAAGGUGAUAAUAAAAAUAUUAAGAACUAUCAUUUAUCAAGUACCUACAAUGUGCUAGAUAUUAUCCCCAGCACCUGAUAUAUGUAAUCUCUAAUAUUCACCAAAGGUGGGAAUUUUUAUUUAAAGCCCAUUUCCUAUGUGAGUAAAGUAAGGCUCAGAGAAGUUAUAAGAUUUAUUUGCCUAAGAUAACAUGACUAAAUAGUUAGUGAAGGCGCUUGACUGCCACCCCAGAUCUAUCUGAUGCAAAAUCUUGAGCUCUUUCUUGUACAGCAUCUUUCCUCACUUCAGGUGGACUUUGAUGGGACCAUCACCAAGACCAUUAGUGACCCCCCUCUUAAAGGUAAAGUCCACCAUUUUCCCCUCAAAGUAUAGAUAGAUACAUCAGCAGCUUGAAAACAUAUUACUUUGACUUCCAUUUAGGAAGGCAAAAUAGCAUAACAUUUUAUUAAAGUCAUGAGUCUAAAAAGAGAAACUUAAAAAAAAAACCUAAAUAUCAUUUUUGCCCAGUUACUUGGAAAUAAGGCAAUCAUCACAUGAUUACUUAUGCUGGUAAUGAAAUUAAGAUAAAGUUUCAUCAAAAUAGCAUAUGCAAUUUUACAGC